rnacentral:rRNA from 1 species
UAGGGAAUCUUCGGCAAUGGGGGCAACCCUGACCGAGCAACGCCGCGUGAGUGAAGAAGGUUUUCGGAUCGUAAAGCUCUGUUGUAAGAGAAGAACGUGUGUGAGAGUGGAAAGUUCACACAGUGACGGUAACUUACCAGUAAGGGACGGCUAACUACGUGCCAGCAGCCGCGGUAACACGUAGGUCCCGAGCGUUGUCCGGAUUUAUUGGGCGUAAAGCGAGGGCAGGCGGUUUAAUAAGUCUGAAGUUAAAGGCAGUGGCUUAACCAAUGGUCGCUUUGGAAACUGAUAAACUUGAGUGCAGAAGGGGAGAGUGGAAUUCCAUGUUUAGCGGUGAAAUGCGUAGAUAUAUGGUGGAACGCCGGUGGCGAAGGCGGCUCUCUGGUCUGUAACUGACGCUGAGGCUCGAAAGCGUGGGGAGCAAACAGG